CUUUCUUUGCUGGCGACCGGCGCACGGGUGAGCAACACGUAUCCAACCUGCCCUUUACCCGGGGAUAGCCUUUCGAAAGAAAGAUUAAUACCCGAUAGCAUAAUGAUUCCGCAUGGUUUCAUUAUUAAAGGAUUCCGGUAAAGGAUAGGCAUGCGUUCCAUUAGGCAGUUGGCGGGGUAACGGCCCACCAAACCGACGAUGGAUAGGGGUUCUGAGAGGAAGGUCCCCCACAUUGGUACUGAGACACGGACCAA
rnacentral:rRNA from 1 species